rnacentral:rRNA from 1 species
UACGAAGGGGGCUAGCGUUGCUCGGAAUUACUGGGCGUAAAGCGCACGUAGGCGGCUUUCUAAGUCGGGGGUGAAAUCCUGGAGCUCAACUCCAGAACUGCCUUCGAUACUGGAGAGCUCGAGUCCGGGAGAGGUGAGUGGAACUCCGAGUGUAGAGGUGAAAUUCGUAGAUAUUCGGAAGAACACCAGUGGCGAAGGCGGCUCACUGGCCCGGUACUGACGCUGAGGCGCGAAAGCGUGGGGAGCAAACAGG